GAUGAACGCUGGCGGCGUGCCUAAAACAUGCAAGUCGAGCGAACAGACGAGGAGCUUGCUCCUCUGACGUUAGCGGCGGACGGGUGAGUAACACGUGGAUAACCUACCUAUAAGACUGGGAUAACUUCGGGAAACCGGAGCUAAUACCGGAUAAUAUAUUGAACCGCAUGGUUCAAUAGUGAAAGACGGUUUUGCUGUCACUUAUAGAUGGAUCCGCGCCGCAUUAGCUAGUUGGUAAGGUAACGGCUUACCAAGGCGACGAUGCGUAGCCGACCUGAGAGGGUGAUCGGCCACACUGGAACUGAGACACGGUCCAGACUCCUACGGGAGGCAGCAGUAGGGAAUCUUCCGCAAUGGGCGAAAGCCUGACGGAGCAACGCCGCGUGAGUGAUGAAGGUCUUCGGAUCGUAAAACUCUGUUAUUAGGGAAGAACAAAUGUGUAAGUAACUAUGCACGUCUUGACGGUACCUAAUCAGAAAGCCACGGCUAACUACGUG
rnacentral:rRNA from 1 species